rnacentral:misc_RNA from 1 species
AAGCCAAUGAAGGGAAAUCGAUGGUAGAUGGAUAACCUUGAAUCAUUUAGCUAGGAGAAGAAGGGAAUUUUGGGGAAAGAUUGUUGGGAUUAGGGAUUUCUCUUUUCCUCUUGAGAGUAUGUCUCCCGAAAAGUUCCAACUCUAUUAGCCGCUAAACACACAGAAGACAUAUAGAUCAGAGGAUAUCACUGAGGAUGAUAAAAGUUAUUAUUCUUCCACCCACCGCUUUCUCUUCGGUUCCCAAACAGGGGAAAGUCAGAAUUUCACCGUACUUUUUACCGGUUAUUUUCCUUCCCCCC